rnacentral:lncRNA from 1 species
GGUGAUGCAGGACUUCAGUUGAUAUCUGAGCACCUGGUCCGUCUUCAAGUCCUCAACCUGUGUGAGACCCCAGUUACAGAUAAAGGACUCAUCUGUCUGGCUGCUUUGAAGAAUUUACGAAAAUUAAAUUUGAACAGUACCUGCCUUUCAGCUCUGACCUUUGAAGGUCUCAAGGAGAAACUUCCUGCCCUCCAAGAAUGUGACGUCAGAUACACUGAAGCAUGGUGAGAACCCUGAUGCUGCCACAACACCCCCUGGGACAUCAGCAAAUCAAAUUUACAGGUGGAAUAAGCAGAAGCAGAUACAAGCUACAAGAACCUUGUUACACCUUCACAUACCAAUGCCUCUGUCUCUAUGGCAACGGUUUGAAAAAAAAAAAAAAAUGUUCUUUCCAUGGUAGCAACCAUAAACAUUUCUUUUGGUGACUAUAAAUCGAAGACUCUAGUCCUAAAGGUUCUUGAGUCAAAUGUGACUCGUGCAGUUUUAGCAGUCGAGUCUUCAGUCAAAAAAUAAAAACAAAAUAAACAAGACAAAAACUGGAAAAGACUUUCACAAAACUUUCUAUGGCAACUAUAGAAUUUUCUCAUGGCAACGACUAUAUUUCCAUAGCAACGCAACUAUCUCCAUGGUGACUCAUAUAUCUGCAUGGCGACGCAACUAUCUCCAUGGUGAUCCAUAUAUCUCCAUGGCAACAUCAAAUUUUUCCCAUUGUAUUAUCAAUGUACUCUAUAGUGACUUAUCAAAUGUCAACACAGUCUCCUUGGCAACCACCAACAACAUCACUAGGGCAAACCCCCAACACGACAUUGUUUCUAUGGCAAUGCUGACAUUUGUUUCUAUGGUAAUGUCUGCUUUGUGUCCAUCUAUGCCUGCCAAAUCAUUAACCUUUUUUUUUUUGUUUUUUGUUUGUUUUUUCUCCAUGGCAACCUCAUAUUCUCGUUGGCAACAUUAAACUCUCCUUCAUUUACACCAAUGUUACCAUAGCAACUCCAACUACUCCAUGACAUCAUCUGUUCCAUGACAACAGUUACUGUCCCCCAUGACAACACGGUAUCACCUCUAGCAACCCCCCAACAUCAUCACUAUGGUUACCAACACCGGCAUAUCUCACUCCCACACACCCAUUUGAAAUCUUUGCUUCCGUGGUGACAUAUAUUGUAUCCAUGGUAACAAGUGUAUGUCCCAUGGUGUUCAAGAACCAUUCAAACACUUCCUGUUGUUGUUGUUGUUGUUGCUGCCAACAGUCCAGUUUUCAAGAGAAAGCCUUGACAUCAGUUUUGUAAUUAAGUUUCUCGUUUAGAUGUUUUCAGGUUUCAUUAUCUGCUCAAAGACAUGUGUUCCAAUAUUAAGGGUUUAGCUACAUGUUUCACUAAGCAUGUUGACUUAUUAUUAUUAUUAUUACUUUUAUUAUUAUUAGGAGAGUAUUGUAGUUCGCUUGAAGCAUUGUGUAUUGCAUGUAAAGAAUAAAAAGUUUUGAACGGUACAAGAAUGCACUAUAAUACCAAAAAAAUGGACUAUAUACCUGUUGUAAUUUAGUUAUCCAUAGUCCAAUGAUAUUUCGGAAUUACAAU